CCAUGAUCUAGUCCCGCGUCCUAUCUUCCCUGGCUGCAGCUGCUCUAUCAUUGUUCUAUUUGGCAUCAUGGAUGACUACCAUGCCCGUCCCUCCUUCCUCCGCAUAUCUAACAGGGGCUAUAUCCAGAUUGCUAGAAUGAUACAGAUUUGUUCUGUCCAAAUUUUUUUCAACUUGCAUUAUUUCACUUAUGUUGUUUUCCCCUUAUUUAUAUUUUUCUUGCAAUUUAUGUUAACUAGUUGCUGAAGAAUCGGUAGGAUUUUCUUUAUUGAUAAAUCUUUUCCUGGUUUGAAAAUAUUGUGCUACUAUUUUUCUUAGGGGUAAGGUCUGGGUACACUCUACCCUCCCAAACCCUACUAGUGGGAUCAUACUGGGUUGUUGUUGUUUCACAUCAUAUCUCGAUUGAGAAAAAGAAUGUUGGUUCUCAAAAAGAAACAAAAAAAGUCGACAAAGAUAGAGUUGGGGUUAGGCAAUCACUUGUUAAUAAUUUUUUUAAAAGGGCAGCUUGAUGCACAAAGCAUCGUGAAUUCACGCAGGAUCCGGGAAAGAAAAUCUCAAUGCCUAAGAUAUUGGAAGGAAGAAAUUAAUCACGUCGCAUAUCAGACAAUAGACAAGAUCAUUAUUCUUUUUGGAUAUAUAAUAACUAGAUUAUUA
rnacentral:lncRNA from 1 species